rnacentral:rRNA from 1 species
GAUGAACGCUAGCGAUAGGCCUUACACAUGCAAGUCGAGGGGCAGCACAAAGAAAGUAGCAAUACUUUUUUGGUGGCGACCGGCGCACGGGUGAGUAACGCGUAUGCAACCUACCUACUACUUUGGGAUAGCUCGUUGAAAGACGAAUUAAUACCUUAUAAUACAGGGACUCCGCAUGGAGAUAUUUGUUAAAAGAUUUAUUGGUAGUAGAUGGGCAUGCGUUCCAUUAGCUUGUUGGUGAGGUAACUGCUCACCAAGGCAUCGAUGGAUAGGGGAACUGAGAGGUUUGUCCCCACACUGGAACUGAGACACGGUCCAG